UUAUUUGUUCACUUGAUUUUGUGUAGGAAUCAUUCAAAUGUGACAUAGAUUUUCCCUCAACUGUCUUCAGCCUCUUCCAACUUUUAAGAUGUUGAUGGAUAAAUACAAAAAGAAACUUGCGUUUGACUGUUUAAUAUUUUGAUACAAGCAGCGUCCUUGUAACAUUUGACAGCUGGUUGCUGAAAAUGAUUUGGAGUAAAUGCUCCUGUUUUUUGUCUUAUAAAUGCAGAUUUCUGUUAUUUUGAAGUCAAAUGCUCUUCUUCUAUUUCCUGGCCCUUUUAGACAAGACGAUAAACUUUCUAAAAUUGUUUGUUUUUGAAACUUUGAAAGUUGAAAGUCUAAGUUUAGCGGUCGGAGCAGCCACUUGAAGAAAGUAGCGGAAGAAUUUUCGGCACGUGACAGAGCAACUAAAUGAUUUGAAAAAAAUGUUUCUUUUUCUCUGUGGCACAAUACCAACUGCCCCAUGGACCGGUCUGCGGCCCAAAGGGUCCAGUAGCUACUACUGCCUUAGCCUACAUCAUCUCUAACAGGAUUCAGGGAAGUACCGUAUGUUUCCGAGUAUAAAUCAUUUUCUUUUGCAUAGUUUGACCAGAGGUGCGACUUAUACUCAGGAGUGAUUUAUAUGUCAUUUUUUUAAAAACAUAAAUAGGAUCCUAUAAUUGUUAUUUUCCCACUAACAGCCAAUCAUCCUUGAGCGGUUGUUUCCCGCUAACAACCGGUAGAGAGCACUGUAGGUGUGUCAGUAUUUGCUACUGACAGCAGAAGAAGCGCUGUACAAAACAAACACGGAGGAGAAUCUGAUCAAUCUCCUGACCUAAUGAUGUGUUUCUUUUUCAUUUCUUUAUUUUUUCAUUCCUCGGACUAAUGUGGGACUGCAGGUCAUCAAACUGGGUUACAGAGACAUGGAAGUACCGCCAUCAGCGCCGUCAAUAGAAGAAGAAGAUUGCGGUUUAAAAAAAAGAGUGCUCUCUUGGGUGAGGGUGUGACUUAUACUCUGAAAAAUACAGUGGUUUUGUUAUUUUGCUGCAGCAAAAGAAGCAAAAGACAAUUGAUUGAUUUUUGUAUUCACAAACAGGUCAUGAAAAAAGAAUAAUCUCCCCUAACCUAACUGGAUUCAUUAAAAAUAGACAUUUCUUUUUCAACUCAAGGCGAGGAUUUAACAUGAUCAACAUCCCAAAUCUUCUCAUAGCUUUGAAUGCAGAAAGGGCCUUUGACCGUGCAGAGUGGAGGUUUUUACUUUACAACCUAUAGGCCAUUGGUUUCGGUAACAGUUUUAAUCACAUGGGUUAAUCCUCCCUGGUUUCCUUGGUAAAGACAAAUAGUAUUCAAUCAGCAUGUUUUCCUUUACCGCUCCACUCGGCAUGCAGGGCUGUCCCCUAAAACUCUAAGCGCUGCAAAUUCACUGCUUUGAUCAAAAAUAAACCUGAUGCUCCUGCCGCGUGUGGGAGGAGCCGUCAAAGGAUUUUAGCCUCAUUGCUACAAUGAAGCAUUGGCUGUGUACUGUAUCUGUAUAUCUCAUGACCAGUCAAUGCAUGGAAGACAUGGAUGAUACCUUUCUCUUUCCUUCCAGACAUGUGACUAAAUCCUGGUGUGUAAACCUUCUACUUUCCUUUUCUUGCAGGUCUGUUUGCAGAUUCUCUUAUCAGGUCGUCUUCCCCCUAUAGAACUCUGCUUCCACGGCUGUGUCUUUGCUGUUGUUGUUUUGUUUUAAUUGUGCUUUCUGGCACUCACCUGUCACUCACAGACCUGAGUCUGAAGCUUCUCGCCUUUUCUACCGUCUGCACACAUUCUGGUUUCAUCCAAAAAUAUUCAUUGGCUUUAAAAGCAGCAUCGAUUCCUGGCCUGAAAGGGAAUCUUCGUUGACAGAGUCGAAAAGAUGGGAUGUGUAUCAGAUCUGGUUUUAUGAAUGAACCCUAAAGGAUCUUCAGAUCCUAAACUACAAAACUACAAUAAACCAAG